UAAACAAAAAUAGAACUCCUUUGGGCACUAUAUGUAUCAAUCCGCGGGAGGAGAGAGAGAGAGAGAGGGAGAUGGAGAGGAAGGAGAGGUCGACCACGUGGGAGAUGUAAGAAGAGGAGGAGUCGAACAUCCUUUAAAAUAAUCCUCAAAAAUCACCACGAUCACGCCCUCCUGAAGGUGCUAAGGGCGUGGAGGAUGUGGCUGAAGGACUCGCAGAAGGAUUUAAACACAGGAGGACCAAGAGGAAGAAGAGGAAGAGGAGGGAAAGUGAAAUAAAUAAAAGAAGGACGAGGAGGAGAUUGCAACAGGACCUACAGUGUGCCAGUGGUGUCCCCUUCCAAGUGUGUGUUAGAGUGUUCCCCCCUCCCCCUCCCCCCCCUCCAAGUGUGUCUUAGUGAUGCCCCCCCUUCACCCUCACUCGCCCCUUCUCCAGCACCACCUUCAUCGUUUUCAUCUUCAUCGUCUCCACCACCGUCGCCUCCACCUCCGCCGCCGCCGCCGCCAUCAAAUAAGCAUGGCGCAGGUCACCGACGGGUCUUGUCAAGAGGUCUUACGGCAGAAUGGCUUGGCCCACGGUAUUAUGGACUCGCUCAGCACUAGUAUAUGGCUUUGUCAAUAUCACUGCAUAAGAACAAAGGUCUGGAUCUUCAAGCAUCUUGUGCUCCCUCUCGUAUACUCUAUGGUUGUGAGAUACAGAUAGGGGACAGUGACUUAAAGAGGCAAAUUGAUGCCCAUGAUAAUACGUGCCUGUGCAGAAUCAUGGGAUAUUGUUUUGUGUAAGACUGAAUCAAGAUGUAUUACUUGCAUAGUCAGUGAAUUCAUACCCAGGCUGUACGGGCACGUGGCACGACACCCAGAAGUCGACCCUGCUCAUGGUGGUGUUUCUGUGAGAGACAACCAUCGGUGGAGGGGGCCAGGGGGACGCCCACAGAGUUCACGGAUAGAGCAGCUCGGUGGGUGGUGCCACAAGGGACUAAGGACAGGAAGGAGGCCUGCAUGGAGUCUUACCUGAAGGAACCCUCGGUGCUGGUGCUGAAGUGUGGGUGAGGCGAUGUGCCCUCCGGUGUAUGCCCCUAUUGACUGAUUGUGUUGUAUAGCUUAUUAGAAAAUACAAAAAAAGAUCAGUAAUUCUAAUCUGAGCUUUGAUUUGGUUUUUGAAACGUGUGAAUAGUGGGAUCCUUGAAUACAGGGAUGAUCUGUUAAUCCGAAUAGAAGGGAGUCCACUUGAAGAAUUUUGACCAUUUAUUUAUUUAUAAAUCAGCUUCAGCAAGGAGGGUGUUCUAGGCGUGUGGCUGCAAACAUAAGCAAGAGAAAGGAAAACUUGAAGAG